rnacentral:tRNA from 1 species
AAAGAUUUAAGUUAAAAAAACUAAUAGCCUUCAAAGCCUUAAAUGAUCCAAAUCAAUCUUUA